rnacentral:lncRNA from 1 species
CCCACACAUAAUAGGUCCAUGAUACCAUGUGGGGUCAUUUCAGACUCCUUUGCUUCCUAACACCUUGUGAGUUCCCUGGGCACACCAACUGAUGGGUCAAUGUAUAUAUUGGGCAUUUGAUUCUCGUUUCAGAAACAGAAAUAUAUUAAAAAACGAGUGGUAAUUAUUAUUUCUGUUUUAACAUUCAAAAAGGUAUAUACAAGGUGCUUUUCUUAUAAAGUCAAAAAGGGGCAAACAAAUCUGAAAUAAUAAUUGUUAAACAUAUAGAGAAUCAUCGGGGGAUUACUUCCAUGGUCGGUAAACAAUGCGACUGCUAUCGCUCAGACCUCUCGCUUAUGAUGCUACAAUGCUAACAAUGCUAAAAAACAAGAAUAUUUCUGCAUCCGGUACGUCAUGAAGUAGGGCGUGGCCAUAGACCCACGAUGCGGAAGCAUAUCUCUCCUUGAUGUUGGGACCAUAGAUAUAUACAGGGUGCGAUUUGUGAAAAAACCAGAGGGGGGGAUAAUUUUGAGAGACAUUUUAUUCAGGAAAAAUAACCACACAACAGUGUGAAAACUUAUGAAAACAGUUGAUCUUGUGACCUUGUGUAUCUAAACCUUACACUUAGGCUUCAUAACGUAGGCGGUAGGCCUAUUUUGAACGUGAACUUAACCACUGCAUUUGCAGAAAUAUUUUCUCAUAGCUAAAAUUGUUUUUAAAUGUGCCAAAUAAAAAAAUAUAUAUAUUUUUUCCCGAUAUCAGUUCAACAGAAAAUAUGAAAUACCACAAUGUGCUGUCAAGACGUUUUUUUUUUAUUUUAUGGGUUAAUCGGGUAGACUAUAGGUCAGACUACGUAAUUUCCCCUUGCCACCACGCUGCUAUCGAUCCGCCAACAGGAAAGCAAAAAAAAGAGGCUGAAGUGCGUCAUCAGAGCGGACUGUUUUCGUAGUCUGACCUAUAGUCUACCCGAUUAACCCAUAAAAAAAAAAAAACGUCUUGACAGCACAUUGUGGUACUUCAUAUUUUCUGUUGAACUGAUAUCGGGGAAAAAAAAAUAUUUUUUUUUAUUUGGCACAUUUAAAAACAAUAUUAGCUAUGAGAAAAUAUUCUUGCAAAUGCAGUGGUUAAGUUCACGUUCAAAAUAGGCCUACCGCCUACGUUAUGAAGCCUAAGUGUAAGGUUUAGAUACACAAAGUCACAAGAUCAACUGUUUUCAUAAGUUUUCACACUGUUGUGUGGUUAUUUUUCCUGAAUAAAAUGUUUCUCAAAAUUAUCCCCCCCUCUGGUUUUUUCACAAAUCGCACCCUGUAUAUAUAUAUAUAUAUACACACUUUCUUUUUCUUUUUUUACGGCAGAGAUCCGGGGCUGAUCCCAAAAGAUCCGGGGCUAUAGCCCCGAAUGCCCAGGUCUAACGACGCGCCUGAAUUAGACGGAUAGAGAAUAGUUAAUUUGUUGAAGUAAUGAAUAAAUGUGUAAACCUUCUUUGACUUAAACAUUAUCGCGCUGACUC